CUGCACCAAUGUUUUCUGGUCCCUGCCAAUAUUGAAACGGAGAUGAAAAUGAUGGGUGUCUUGGAAACAAAAAAUGUGGCUUGCCUUUUGUCAUCAGUAAUCACAUGUGUGUAUUAUAGUCAAAGGGCGGCGACCUUGGAGUUGAGAACUGUGCGGACCACAACAUAUAUGCACAUGACCAGUGCGGCACGGUGUCGAUCAAUUCGUUGGCCGACUACACUGCAUUGGGAUCGCAGUCUUAUCGCUUGUUUUUCAGGUGCAAUACGCACCUGUACAUAGGCGUCGAGUACUCCUUGCACAUCAAACGCUUAGAAGUGGCGCAGUCGGAGCAGUAUUCAUUUGUAAAAUAGCAAAUUAUUAACAAAAAUGUGCUUAACAUUUUAGUUUCUUUUUAUUUAUAUAUAUCUGUGUGGAGGUUUUUCA